rnacentral:lncRNA from 1 species
CUCUGCCUAUGACCCAUAUAAUUUGAUAUUCAUUCUUUAACCAUAUAUCAUAGUAAGCUAGUUUUUUAUUUUACACCAAUCCACAAUCUUUCAUGUUAAAUUCUGUCUCCAUUUAAGUUUAUGCUAUUGAACCAUCAUGGUAUUAAACACAAUUCCAAGUAAUUAUGCUGUUAUAGAGGGUCACCAUAUAUUCAUCUUGGGUGACAUUCCAGUUAUUGAAAUUU